CUCUUCCUUUCUUUGUUUUUCCUGAUUUUACUCUCAUCCUCUUAUUUUUUCGUUUGAGAACACUAGAAGCAUACUCUCAGUGAGCCUCCUCCAUGGAAUCGUACUUCUGAGUUCUCCAUUUUUGCGGCUUCUGGUAUGUCUAUCUAUUUUCCGUCGACACCGCUACUGAGGUUUUUUUCCCAUCAAUUUUUUUUCCAUCAAUCUGGCGCAAAUUAUCCUGCCAAUUUGGGAAGAACUUCGAACCAGAAGAACAAGAAAAAUCCCUCAUUUUUAGGGAGAGAAAGAGAGAUUUUAGUUUUGAGAUCGUUAUGAUCCAAUGGAAUUUCAUGAUAUCAGAGAAACCAUAUACGACUAUCCUUGAAGCAAUUGCAAAAGCCGCCGAAGAAAAAACGCCGGUAAUAGCGCUAUACAACUAUCCUUCAUUUUCCGGCGCAUAUUCAGCACUCUUCGCUCAUCCCUUCCACUUUCACCUUCGUCGUCUUUACCUGUUGCCUUAUUCUUCCGUUUUCCUCCGUCCUCCUUUCAGGUCAUUCUCUCACUGAGUUUUUGUUGCCAUUUUUCUGUUGAUUGUAACAAUUAUGUAAUUUCUUUGAUUAAAUUAUUAAUGUUAGCAUUGUGUAAUUAGCAAUUGUCGCUUUGCAUUUUUUUGUUGUUUUUUUUUUAUUUUGACAUAGAUUAAUUAGUACUGCAUUUGUUUGUUGUUAUGCUAGAAUGUUGUGUGUCACUGGAAAAAUUGUGUUGUGCUCCGUAUUUAUUUAUUUUUAGUUUAAGUUUAAUUAUGUGUUUAUCUUGUUUAGCUGUUGAGAAAAUCAGAAAUUAAUAUAUGAGAAAUGUAAUAUGAAUUUAAUUAUACAACUUUUGUUUAUAGGCCAUUUUUGUUCUGAUGAUUUAAAAAUAUGUUACUUGAA